GGAGUUUGGGCCGUGUCUCAGUCCCAAUGUGGCCGGUCGCCCUCUCAGGCCGGCUAUAGAUCGUCGCUUUGGUGGGCCGUUACCCCGCCAACUGGCUAAUCUAACGCGGAUCCAUCUCAUACCACCGGAGUUUUUCACACUGCAUCAUGCGAUGCUGUGCGCUUAUGCGGUAUUAGCAGUCAUUUCUAACUGUUAUCCCCCAGUAUGAGGCAGGUUAUCCACGCGUUACUCACCCGUCCGCCACUAAGUCACCAAAUCGUCAAUCCGAAGAAAUCAAAUAAGGUGCUUCGUUCGACUUGCAUGUGUUAAGCACGCCGCCAGCGUUCAUC
rnacentral:rRNA from 1 species